rnacentral:rRNA from 1 species
AUGACGUCAAGUCAUCAUGGCCCUUACGACCAGGGCUACACACGUGCUACAAUGGCGCAUACAAAGAGAAGCGACCUCGCGAGAGCAAGCAAAUCUCAAAAAGCCGUCCUCAGUUCGGAUUGGAAUCUGCAACUCGACUCCAUGAAGUUGGAAUCGCUAGUAAUCGCGGAUCAGCAUGCCGCGGUGAAUACGUUCCCGGGCCUU